GCACAUGCGCAGAAUCAUCGUGGUGCACGGCUCUCCCUUUGCUUCUUCGGUUGCAGUCCUCUUGCUUCUUGCGCGUGCGUGUAGCGCUUUUGCAAAGCCGCGGAGGUGAAGUGAACUUAGAGGUUGUGGGGCCGAGGGGUCGUCUUAUAGCUACCAGCCCACAGGCAUUUAGUCUACGUUGGAGGUAAACAAAUACGGGUCCUGCUUAGGAGAAAAGAAAAACGUCUUACAGCCAGUGUCUAAACUCCAAACAACGGAAUGUAUCAAUGAGACCUUGUAUAUGGAUACACGUGCAUUUAAAACCGCCCUGCCGGCUUGUAGAGCUUUUGCCGUUCUCCAGCGCUUUACAGGGGUUAUCGCACUUAAGCCUCGGAACAACUUUACCAGAUGAGGACACCUGAGGUUCAGAUUAAGAAAUCUGCCCCAAAGUCUUAGAACUGGUGCUGCUGUGACGACCAGCUUUGUGUGGCCUCCAGUGGACUUCAUAUGGACAUAGCCGACCAUGCCUUGCCUUGUCAGUCCCACAUCCCUCACCUUCGGACCUGGGCUUCCCUGUUGAUACAGAGGCACUGGAUAUCUUGAGACUUGCUCACCAUGACUUGCUCUGGCUAUAUCAAAUAAAAGUGUCAAGAGUGAGCAUCCUUGCCUUGUGCUGAAUCACAAAGGAAUACCUUUCAGUUUUUCUCCAUUGAUUAUGAUAGCAGUGGGCUUUUCACAGUGGGCUUUACUGUGUUGAGGGUAUGCUAUUAAUGUGCCCUGUGACUGGGUCCAUGCCCCAGUCCUAUUUUCCUGGCUUUAUGGAAGAUGCCACAACAUCAGCUGAGCUGAUAUAAGAAUUUCCUAACUCAUGAGGAGGUCUGAUGGCCGGGAGGACAGGAAGAAGGAACCCACAAUGAAGCAAAAGUUGCGUUUAACUCUGUCCUCACCAUUCCUCUCCUGGACCUGUCCUAAACUGGAAGCUGGGGGAGGAUGGAGUGCUGGAAUGCUGCAGAAGUCUCAUGGGAGGGCGCCUGGUGUUCACCACAUGUGUACACUGUUGCACGACCAG
rnacentral:lncRNA from 1 species